UCCCUGGUGGCUCAGUGGUAAAGAACCUGCCUGCCAAUGCAGGAGACCCAGGUUCAAUCCCUGGGUGGGGAA
rnacentral:tRNA from 1 species